rnacentral:rRNA from 1 species
AUUGAACGCUGCGGCAGGCCUAACACAUGCAAGUCGAGCGGUAGAGAGAAGCUUGCUUCUCUUGAGAGCGGCGGACGGGUGAGUAAUGCCUAGGAAUCUGCCUGGUAGUGGGGGAUAACGUUCGGAAACGGACGCUAAUACCGCAUACGUCCUACGGGAGAAAGCAGGGGACCUUCGGGCCUUGCGCUAUCAGAUGAGCCUAGGUCGGAUUAGCUAGUUGGUGGGGUAAUGGCUCACCAAGGCGACGAUCCGUAACUGGUCUGAGAGGAUGAUCAGUCACACUGGAACUGAGACACGGUCCAGACUCCUACGGGAGGCAGCAGUGGGGAAUAUUGGACAAUGGGCGAAAGCCUGAUCCAGCCAUGCCGCGUGUGUGAAGAAGGUCUUCGGAUUGUAAAGCACUUUAAGUUGGGAGGAAGGGUUGUAGAUUAAUACUCUGCAAUUUUGACGUUACCGACAGAAUAAGCACCGGUAA